CGACAGACAGUUAACCCUUUCUAGUCUGGCUCGUGGCACUCCAGCCGGAGUCAGUCUGCGACAGCAAGUGGUGAGCUGUUCUGUCCGGCGUCAGGAUGUUGAUGGUGGCCUUAGAGACUUGCCAGAUCUGC
ensembl:snoRNA small nucleolar RNA, H/ACA box 56